AAGAUUUUAGAAAUUAAAAGUAAUCUACGUAAACCUUUACAUUUGUAUCACAAUUGAUACAAUAGUACAGUCAUGGUUCAUUUAAUUGGAGCAUUAAAGUAUUUAUAUGAUACUUUAUCUUUUUCAUCAAGGAAAUACAUCAAAUAUGGAAGUUGAAAUAAAAUCGAUGUUAUCAUGUAUGUCCUUCCCCCCAAAAUAUAUCAGUAUUUACUCUUUAUUUUUCAUAUUUACAUCAACAUACAACUUUAAGGGCCUCUGUAGCCAAGUGGUCAAAGUAAUUCAACUACAGUAUCACUAGCCUGUCAAUACUGAGAUUUAAAUUGAAACCCUGCAUGUUGCAGACGCUUUAUACUCUGAUCUUAACUGACAAGGAAAGACACUUCCUAAUGAAGAGCAGUGGGUCCCUCCUGGCACUACAGCUUCCUCUACCAAUAAAAUUUGACCACUUAUUAUGGGCAAGAUCACGCUUACACCAACAAGCAAUUGCAAUAAUCGAGCAGCAUGAUCUAUAAGAAUUAGAAUUUAAUUUUUGGAUCAGAAAGUGCAGAUACAAUACCUUAACUUUUGAUUAUGAAAACAUCCAUGUGAACAAUAAUUAUGUAUUGGCUAUUUGAUCACAUUUGACACACACACUUUUUGACCACAAGUAGACACAAAAAGAAUGGCAAAGCAGAGGUCAAUUCCAGAACUAAAUAUGUGUAUAUUAACAUGAAUGACAUUUAUUUAUUUAUUUAUUGAAGUAUGGUAUUUACUAACAAUAUGAAAGUCCUUUUUAUCUGUAAAUAUCCUGUUCUAAAAAAUAUCAAUACCUGUAACUUUUCUGUGAAAACUGAACCUAUUUGUAAUUGUAAAUGCUUUAAAAACAUACAUUAAAUUUAAAAGAUCUGAAUGGUACUUUACACUUAAUGUUAUUUAACAUUCCGGAGCCAAUUAAAUUUUCUACAAACUAUGAUUUCCUAUAAAAGGAAGAGAUUCAUGUCAAACCAAUCUUUACAAAACAUAAUUGUUUGUGAAGCCUGCAUGGAUUGUAAACAUAUCUGUAUUAUGAUGAUGCCUUAACUGAUUGUAAACUAAUAUCAGUUUCACAAUGAGGAACAGUAAUGCAAUUGAAAUGUAAACUUCAAUUUGCCAAACUGACUGUUUGAUUUAUUUCACUGAAUUUAAAAAAAAACGAGCACCCACUUUCCAAAACCUAAACAUUCUUAGUAAUCUUAGGAUCUAAGGAAGAAUU
rnacentral:lncRNA from 1 species